rnacentral:rRNA from 1 species
UUUGACUGCUCAGAUUGAACGCUGGCGGGAUGCUUUACACAUGCAAGUCGAACGGCAGCACUGACUUCGGCCUGGGUGGCGAGUGGCGAACGGGUGAGUAAUGUAUCGAACGCUCAGUAGCGGGGGAUAACUACGCGAAAGCGUAGCGACACUGCAUAAUGUUCGGGGGAAAGCGGGGACCUUCGGGCCUCGCACUAUUAGAGCGGCCGAUAUCGGAUAGCUAGUUGGUGGGGUAACGGCUCACCAAGGCGACGAUCCGUAGCUGGUUUGAGGCGACGACCAGCCACACUGGGACUGGGAGACACGGCCCAGACUACGGGAGGCAGCAGUGGGGAAUUUUGGACAAUGGGGGAAACCCUGAUCCAGCCAUCCGCGUGCGAUGAAGGCCUUCGGGUUGUAAAGCACUUUUGGCGGAAAGAAACGGUACGGGAUAAUACCCGUGCAACUGACGGUACUCCUGAGAAUAAGCACCGGCUAACUACGCCAGCAAUGCGGUAAUACGUAGGUGCAAGCGUUAACGAAUUACUGGCGUGGAAGCGGGCAGCGUUCGGAAAGAAAGAUGUGAAAUCCUGUGGAGCUGACAAUCUCUGAACUGCAUUUUUAACUACUGACAGAGUGUCAGAGGAGGUGAAUUCCGUAGUAAGGAAAUGUGCAGAUAUGCGGAGGAACACCGAUGGCGAAGGGCAGCCUCCUGGAUACCACUGACGCUCGAAGGCAUCAAAGCGUGGGGAGCAAACAGGAUUAGAGCACUCUGGUAGUCCAUGCCCAAACGAUGAUGUCAACUAGCUGUUAAAUUUCGGGCCUGGUAGCGCAGCUAACGUGAAGUUGACCGCCUGGGGGAGUACGGUCGCAAGAUUAAAACCCAAAGGAAUUGACGGGACCUGCACAAGCGGUGAUGAGUGAUUAACGGAUAAAUUGAAAAACCCAUCGUCUGACAUGUCUGGGAAUCCCGAAGAGAUUUGGGAGUGUCGCAGAUGACCGAACACAGGUGCUGUAUGGCUGUCGUCAUUUCCUGUGUCGUGAGAGUUGGGUUAAGUCCCAACGAGCGGCAACUCUAUUGGCCAGUUGCUACCAGGCAGCACUGCAUGAGAUCUGGUUACAAACCGGAGGAAGGUGAUGACGUCAAGUCCUCAUGGCCCUUGCGGUAGGGCUUCACACGUCAUACAAUGGUCGGGACAGAGGGUCGCCAACCCGCGAGGGGGAGCCAAUCCCAGAAACCCGAUCGUAAAGUCCGACUGCAGCCCAACCGACUGCGUGAAGUCGAACUAAUCGCGGAUCAGCAUACCGUGAAUACGUUCCCGGGUCUUGCACACACCGGCCCGGGUCACCAUGUGAGUGGUUCUUCUUACCAGAAGUAGUUAGCCUAACUGCAGAGAGGCGAUUACCACGGUAGGAUCAUGACCGUGAAGUCGUACAACCAGCACACUCGAUGC